AACGCAGAAGUAAGAAGCAGAGAGUGGUUUCUUUGUGUAGGUAAUUGCCUAUUUAUUUCUUUUAGCUGCUGUUUUUUUGUUUUGUUUUUUUUUUGUAAUUUCCCACCGGAGCGUGUGAUUGGCUUAGGGUGACCAGACAGCAAGUGUGAAAAAUCAGGACGGGUAAUUGGCACCUAUAUAAGAAAAAGCCCCAAACUUUGGGAUUGGCCCUAUAGAAUUGGGACAUCUGGUCAGCCUAGAUUGGCUCCCGGCCCUGCCCCCUCCACACGUAACUCACACUUCCUGCCUAGCUAAGACCCUUCUGGACUUGAGUUCUCAGCGCCUGCACUUUCUUUAGAAAGGAAUGUGCAAGUUAAGUGCCCAAUCAAGAAGCACUUAACGCACAAUGGAUCUUGGGAGGCACCAAUCCACACAAGACGUCUACAUGAGGACAUUCAAGGUAGCAGGUAAGCAAUGGCUGCUGCCUGUAAAAACUGAGUCAUGCAUGGACAUGUGACUUGCCCAUGUGACUCCAAAACUCCAUCUUGGAGCUGGACUUUGCAUAGGAGAGAGGAAGGGGUCUCCACCCACAAGAGAAAGUCUAAUUAAACCCCUGGGAGACCCCUCCAUUUUGUCUUCAGAUGGCUCAAGAGAUAGCCUCUCCACCCCCAAGGAUACCUGAAAGAAACUGGAACAAAGGACAGUAACUACAGGGGUUGAGAGUGAUUGCUGGACCCAGACUAGAAGGAGACUAGUCUGUAAAAGGAAGCUUACUGUGUGAGGUUUUUAUCUGUAUUCAGUUUUUUCACUGUAUUAGACAUAGACUUGUGUGUUCUAUUUUAUUUGUUUGGUAAUUCCCUUUGUUCUGUCUGCUAUUACUUGGACCCACUUAAAUCCUACUUUCUGUAUUUAAUAAAAUCACUUUUUACUCCA